UAAUACGGAGGACCCGAGCGUUAUCCGGAUUCAUUGGGUUUAAAGGGUGCGCAGGCGGCCCGGUCAGUCAGCGGUGAAAUGCCCGCGCUUCACGCGGGAGCUGCCGUUGAUACUGCCGGGCUAGAAUCUCAGCGAGGCGGGCGGAAUGCGCGGUGUAGCGGUGAAAUGCAUAGAUAUCGCGCAGAACGCCGAUUGGGGAGCCAGCUCGCCAGCUGGGUAUUGACGCUGAGGCACGAAAGCGUGGGGAUCGAACAGGAUUAGAUACCCUGGUAGUCCACGCCGUAAACGAUGAUGGCUCGCUCUUGGCUGGAAACGGUCAGGGGCUUAGCGAAAGCGUUAAGCCAUCCACCUGGGGAGUACGCCGGCAACGGUGAAACUUAAAUGAAUUGACGG
rnacentral:rRNA from 1 species